rnacentral:rRNA from 1 species
GGGCCCGCACAAGCGGUGGAGUAUGUGGUUUAAUUCGAUGCAACGCGAAGAACCUUACCAGGGUUUGACAUCCUGCGAAUCUCUUGGAAACGAGAGAGUGCCUUCGGGAACGCAGUGACAGGUGGUGCAUGGCUGUCGUCAGCUCGUGUCGUGAGAUGUUGGGUUAAGUCCCGCAACGAGCGCAACCCACGUCUUUAGUUGCCAGCAUUUAGUUGGGCACUCUAGAGAGACUGCCGGUGAUAAACCGGAGGAAGGUGUGGAUGACGUCAAGUCAUCAUGCCCCUUACAUCCUGGGCUACACACGUGCUACAAUGGCAUUUACAGAGGGAAGCGAGACAGUGAUGUGGAGCGGGACCCCAUAAACCGUGGCUCAGUUCAGAUCGUAGGCUGCAACUCGCCUACGUGAAGGCGGAAUCGCUAGUAAUCGCAGGUC